UGCGUAGGCGGUCCUGUAAGUACGGUCUGAAAUCUCCUGGCUUAACUGGGAGGGUGGGCUAUAGACUGCGGGACUAGAGGGUAGGAGAGGAAAGUGGAAUUCCUGGUGUAGCGGUGAAAUGCGUAGAUAUCAGGAGGAACACCGGUGGUGUAAACGGCUUUCUGGACUACUUCUGACGCUGAGGCACGAAAGCGUGGGUAGCAAACAGGAUUAGAUACCCUGGUAGUCCACGCCCUAAACGAUGCAUAUUUGGUGUGGGCCAUUCAUUUGGUCCGUGCCGGAGCUAACGCGUUAAAUAUGCCGCCUGGGGAGUACAGUCGCAAGGCUGAA
rnacentral:rRNA from 1 species